CUCACUGGCCUGAUUAUGAUAAUGAGAGCUGAAGAUAUUUAUCAUGUCAGCUCACUGCCACCUAUCCUGGACUCAUACAAAUCAGCACAGUGUCCAGAAAAGGCAGCCGGUCUAUCUGAAUAUCAGAGGCAGAGGAGACAACAAAGCCCCAGCAGAACAGGCAAGAUGCAGAUGGCGAUGACUUCUGCUCCUGCUGAGGAUUCUGAUCAAAUGCUUGAGAGAAAACGAAAAGCUCUUCUAGAUCAGCGCCAUCUAGAGACAUACUACAGACUACAGCGUUUUAAAGACAUGCUUUCAUGCCAGCAUGCUGCAUUACUGAGGGAAAAAGUUCAAAGACAAAGACAAGAGAUGAAGCACCGUGAUUCCAAGCUUAGAGAAGGACAUAAAGAACAGAAGCUUGUCACCAUUCAGAGGGCCACCAGAUCAACCCUCACACAUGAUGAUGCAUACUUGAGUUGUCUACCUAAAACACACUACUAUCUGGUUCUGGAACUGCAGAAACAGCUGACACGACUCGGGUAUCUUCAGAACCGCAGGGAACAGGAGGUGUUCAGGGUCUGGACAGAACAACACCAAAGCUCAUGUCAACUUGAGAAACAACUACAAGCAAUGGAACACAGCAGUAAUCCCAGCUCAGAUGUUACUCUUGAGGACCUGCUGAAACAGAAGCCUGGGUUUUUCCCGAAACUUCAGAUCACACCUGAUGACUCCACAGCACAGCAGAAACAUAUGCCAGUCUCACCAAGAGGAAAUGAAGAAGGGGUGAACACUUUCCAACAGCAGGGCAAACAGAGCUGGGAACAAGACGAAACUGAGCUCAUGUUUCCUGAAGUUUUCACUCGGGAGCUCAAAGUGCCUAAAUUUUCCAGUCUGCGGUCCACCUUCCUGGAAGAAGUCAGCUCCAAGAUGCUUCUUAUGAGAAGCUAUGAUCCACCGAUCUGGUCAAAGACCUUUGACAUUAAACACAAAACGAGAUUAAUGCACAACCUCUCGCUCUCUCAUAUGGCUGACACUCAGAGAAUUAUGGCAAAAAAUGGACUCAGUCUGCAAUGCACAGAUGGUUUCAGCAUUAAAGAAUUGCUGGAGCAUGAAUGUCCCCACAACAUCCAAACUCAGAAGUCCAGAUAUCCCACAGAGCCUGACUUUACACACCUGAGUGAUAAAGGAACAUCUGAGAGCCCAGAAUCCUUCACUGAGAGUCCAGAUACUCAUUUCUCACCAAGUCUCCAUCCGGCUGGAAAAAGCGCAGAUGAAUCCCCAUCUAGUUCUGCUGAAGACACUCAAUCAUCAUAUACAGACAUGCCUCUAUGCAUAGCUGACGUCUAUACUAGUCAAUCUGGUGAGGUGGAAAACUCAGAUGUGAAGAUGUGGUCAAAUUAUACAUAGAGGACUUGUCACUUUAAAACAAACUUUCAGAAUAAAUGUGCAAAAACUUUUCCCUAGGGACA
ensembl:lncRNA